rnacentral:rRNA from 1 species
ACUCCUACGGGAGGCAGCAGUGAGGAAUAUUGCGCAAUGGGCGAAAGCCUGACGCAGCGACGCCGCGUGGGGGWUGAAGGCCUUCGGGUCGUAAACCCCUUUCGGGAGGGAAGAUGGGACGGGUAACCGUUCGGACGGUACCUCCAGAAGCAGCCACGGCUAACUCUGUGCCAGCAGCCGCGGUAAGACAGAGGUGGCAAGCGUUGUUCGGCUUUACUGGGCGUAAAGGGUGCGUAGGUGGUUAGGUAAGACCUGUGGGAAAGACCUGGGCUUAACCCAGGAAGGUCGCAGGUGACUGCUUGGCUAGAGGGCGGGAGAGGAGAGCGGAAUUCCCGGUGUAGCGGUGAAAUGCGUAGAGAUCGGGAGGAAGGCCGGUGGCGAAGGCGGCUCUCUGGAACGUUCCUGACACUGAGGCACGAAAGCGUGGGGAGCAAACAGGAUUAGAUACCCUGGUAGUCCACGCCCUAAACGAUGGGUACUAAGUGUCGGCGGGUUACCGCCGGUGCCGUACCUAACGGAGUAAGUACCCCGCCUGGGGAGUACGGCCGCAAGGUUGAAACUUAAAUGAAUUGACG